rnacentral:rRNA from 1 species
AAGUCGAACGCGUCUCCGUUAAUGAUUUUAAGUGCUUGCACUUGAAAGAUUUAACAUUGAGACGAGUGGCGAACUGGUGAGUAACACGUGGGUAACCUGCCCUUGAAGUAGGGGAUAACACUUGGAAACAGGUGCUAAUACCGUAUAACAACCAAAACCACCUGGUUUUGGUUUAAAAGACGGCUUCGGCUGUCACUUUAGGAUGGACCCGCGGCGUAUUAGCUUGUUGGUAAGGUAACGGCCUACCAAGGCGAUGAUACGUAGCCGACCUGAGAGGGUAAUCGGCCACAUUGGGACUGAGACACGGCCCAAACUCCUACGGGAGGCAGCAGUAGGGAAUCUUCCACAAUGGACGAAAGUCUGAUGGAGCAACGCCGCGUGAGUGAUGAAGGGUUUCGGCUCGUAAAACUCUGUUGUUGGAGAAGAACAGGUGUCAGAGCAACUGUUGACAUCUUGACGGUAUCCAACCAGAAAGCCACGGCUAACUACGUGCCAGCAGCCGCGGUAAUACGUAGGUGGCAAGCGUUGUCCGGAUUUAUUGGGCGUAAAGCGAGCGCAGGCGGUUUUUUAGGUCUGAUGUGAAAGCCUUCGGCUUAACCGGAGAAGUGCAUCGGAAACCGGGAGGCUUGAGUGCAGAAGAGGACAGUGGAACUCCAUGUGUAGCGGUGAAAUGCGUAGAUAUAUGGAAGAACACCAGUGGCGAAGGCGGCUGUCUGGUCUGUAACUGACGCUGAGGCUCGAAAGCAUGGGUAGCGAACAGGAUUAGAUACCCUGGUAGUCCAUGCCGUAAACGAUGAGUGCUAAG